rnacentral:rRNA from 1 species
GACGGGGGCUGCAAGCGUUAUCCGGAAUCACUGGGCGUAAAGCGUCUGCAGGUGGUGAUGCAAGUCACUGGUGCAAAACUCCGGCUCAACCGGAGGAAAGCCAGUGAAACUGCAUGACUAGAGUGUGGGAGAGGUAGAAGGAAUUCCCUGAGUAGCGGUGAAAUGCGUAGAUACAGGGAAGAACACCGGAGGCGAAAGCGUUCUACUGGAACACAACUGACACUGAGAGACGAAAGCUAGGGGAGCGAAUGGG